ensembl:lncRNA
ACUCAGCUUGGUGUCGUCUGCACAUAGCGCGGGCUGCAGCCUGAACAAGAUCAGCUCAGCGAUGCAAAAACAGUGGAAGAUGUGGAAAGCAACAGAAUUGCCCAACACAGCACAGAGCACCUCAUGGGGAUCGUUUCCCAUCCCAGAAAGGAGGGACGGCAAAAUCUGAUGGCAAAGCCUGUUACAAAUACCUGUUCAAAGCAAGUUGUCCAUCACACAGGCAUACCAGCACACUCGCUUCCUGGGAGCGUUGCUAAAUGCAGAUCACUUGCAGAUGCCAUCCGAGCCCUGUACUGAAAUUAGCAAAGUUCCACGACCGUAAACUGGCAGAGACUUGCUUCUUCUAAGGAAAAGUCUGUGUGCAUUGGCUUCAUAUUUUUCACCUGACGUUCAAAGGGGCUUGAAUGUGGCUCUCAGCCUCUUGCGUUCGCUGGGGUUUGUCAAUGUGAAGUGCCCUUAUGAGUGGGCUAUUUACUGCUUUCCCACUCUCAGUGAACGCAGUGUUUUGUAGCUAAGCCACGCUGUUUGGGUUUUCCUGCUCUGUCCUCAAAUCCCGUUUUUUUGUUUUCUUAAUGCUUUUGAAGUUACUUGGUCCUAAAAUAUGGCUCUCAGUAAACAUUUCAGCACUUCAAUUUGGCUUAAAUUUUACACUUUAAUAUUCAAGUUCCAAAAUAGUUUUAUGAGCAAAUAAAAAAGAUGAUGGCUCUGGAAGCAUUUAUUUUCAAUAUCUUUUACUUCUGCUAAGCCAUAUACUCAAGAAGCUGCCUUAUAAACAACUUUAUAUUGCAUUCUAUUGCCAAUCAUUGGAAAAACAUGCCGUAAUGGGUUGCAAAUGGCAUAAUGUUAUGCAGCCAGGAUGAACGAGGUCAUUGGAAAGAUAUCGUAUUGAUAAAAGCAGGCAUGGAGAAAAUAACUUUAAAUCUGAAGUCUCCAUAUCACGAGCAAUAGAACAAAGGAAAAAUUACAGGUAUUUUUUUCUACUCAGAAACAGCCUGAGCCAACAGCACUUUGCUUGCUGAAAGGUUUUCUCUCUCAUAAUCCAAGCCAAAUGUGUAUAUUUCCUUUACAGCCAUGUUUGCUGUUGUUUCUUUGCAUAAAUCAUUUUUCUCACCUC